rnacentral:rRNA from 1 species
UAGGGAAUCUUCGGCAAUGGACGAAAGUCUGACCGAGCAACGCCGCGUGAGUGAAGAAGGUUUCGGAUCGUAAAACUCUGUUGGUAGAGAAGAACGUUGGUGAGAGUGGAAAGCUCAUCAAGUGACGGUAACUACCCAGAAAGGGACGGCUAACUACGUGCCAC